rnacentral:rRNA from 1 species
UACGUAGGGACCAAGCGUUGUUCGGAUUUACUGGGCGUAAAGGGCGCGUAGGCGGCUUAACAAGUCACUUGUGAAAUCUCCGGGCUUAACUCGGGACGGCCAAGUGAAACUGUCAAGCUAGAGUGCAGAAGGGGCAAUCGGAAUUCUUGGUGUAGCGGUGAAAUGCGUAGAUAUCUGGAGGAAUACCGGUGGCGAAGGCGGCAUCCUGGACCGGCAUUGACGCUGAGGAGCGAAAGCUAGGGGAGCAAACGGG